UGGGGAAUUUUGGACAAUGGGCGAAAGCCUGAUCCAGCAAUGCCGCGUGUGUGAAGAAGGCCUUCGGGUUGUAAAGCACUUUUGUCCGGAAAGAAAUCCUUGGCUCUAAUACAGUCGGGGGAUGACGGUACCGGAAGAAUAAGCACCGGCUAACUACGUGCCAGCAGCCGCGGUAAUACGUAGGGUGCAAGCGUUAAUCGGAAUUACUGGGCGUAAAGCGUGCGCAGGCGGUUUGCUAAGACCGAUGUGAAAUCCCCGGGCUCAACCUGGGAACUGCAUUGGUGACUGGCAGGCUAGAGUAUGGCAGAGGGGGGUAAAUUCCACGUGUAGCAGUGAAAUGCGUAGAGAUGUGGAGGAAUACCGAUGGCGAAGGCAGCCCCCUGGGCCAAUACUGACGCUCAUGCACGAAAGCGUGGGGAGCAAACAGGAUUAGAUACCCUGGUAGUCCACGCCCUAAACGAUGUCAACUAGUUGUUGGGGAUUCAUUUCCUUAGUAACGUAGCUAACGCGUGAAGUUGACCGCCUGGGGAGUACGGUCGCAAGAUUAAAACUCAAAUGAAUUGACGGGGUC
rnacentral:rRNA from 1 species